rnacentral:lncRNA from 1 species
AAACCUUUCUCUCGAUUUUUUUUUCUUCUUUUCAUUUUUUUCUCUAUAGCUCUCCUCUCUCAUCGCAAAAUAGGGGUGGGGGUUUAGAUCUCACUGGGGUGCUCCGGCUACCCCAAUAAGAGACAGAGGAGGUGAAGAGAAGGCCUUCGGCGCGACAUCGGCUGCAGCCGGAGGAGUAGCCAGAGCACGGUAUAUGGCCAUCAGGUAAGCACUUUUUUUUUUUUUGCCUAAAUUUAGUGACCCUUUGCCGGAUUUUGGCCAUCGCCGGUUCGAUCGGGAAGGAAAGAAGAAGGGAGGAGACGGACCUUUACCUUGACUCCAAGAUGGCGUUGUGACCAUGAAUCUGACAGCCCGGAGCUUAUUCGCCUCGGUACGGAUCCUAUUUAAACCCCUCUUCGAGUAUUGGCCCAAGAGGACUCAAUGUCGACCGACCUACAAUUAAUUUGAAUUUUUCUUUCCUUGUCUUCAUCUACUAGGCUUGCUUGAACUGAUGGAUUUUUUGAAACCUUGACAAGAAGUUACAGUCUUAUAAAUUCAGAUUGAUGUAAGAUCUUGAUUUGUUUAGGCCCAGAAGGGGAAUAAACUUGAUGGUCCAUCUAGUUCAUCGAGGCAAUCCGAAGGAAAAUUAUUAAAUACUAACAAAAGUUGGAAGAUUGCAAACUAUGGUCCACGUAGCACAUUGAGACACCUUCUUGUCUUCAAGGAAGGUCCCCGGAGGGUUGUGUCUUUUGUUUUUCGGUCAUUUUUUUGUGAGGAGAGGGUUGUGGCAGCUUACCACCGUGCGUUUGUCUAAAUAAUCAGAUAAUAAAUUGUGCUGAAGAUGUAGAAAUAUUUUAUAGUUCUUGGGCUAUUCUAAGUAGGCCUGUUUCUAUUUCUCAACCGUCAGCUAACUAGGAGAAUGCAUCUCAUAUUAUUUUCUCGGUCCAUUGUAAUUUUUUUUUUAUUUUUAGUAUAAAAUAAUUAUUUAAUUUUUUGAUCAUUUGAUGUAUAGAUCAUAGCAUCACCAAAUUAUAUAUAUUUUUAUAAAAAUAAUUUAAAAAUAAUAUAUCACAUCCAAUAAUUGCCCAUGAUGGAGCUUAUGUUGUAGUUAAAACUUCAUCUCGCCCACUAUCGGCAAUGCUUCGAUGUUAGAGAGCAUCCAACAGCC